UUGAGUAAUACUUAGGAAUCUACCUAGUAGUGGGGGAUAGCACGGGGAAACUCGUAUUAAUACCGCAUACGACCUACGGGAGAAAGGGGGCAGUUUACUGCUCUCGCUAUUAGAUGAGCCUAAGUCGGAUUAGCUAGAUGGUGGGGUAAAGGCCUACCAUGGCGACGAUCUGUAGCUGGUCUGAGAGGAUGAUCAGCCACACCGGGACUGAGACACGGCCCGGACUCCUACGGGAGGCAGCAGUGGGGAAUAUUGGACAAUGGGGGAAACCCUGAUCCAGCCAUGCCGCGUGUGUGAAGAAGGCCUUUUGGUUGUAAAGCACUUUAAGCAGUGAAGAAGACUCCGUGGUUAAUACCCACGGACGAUGACAUUAGCUGCAGAAUAAGCACCGGCUAACUCUGUGCCAGCAGCCGCGGUAAUACAGAGGGUGCAAGCGUUAAUCGGAAUUACUGGGCGUAAAGGGAGCGUAGGUGGCUCUAUAAGUCAGAUGUGAAAUCCCCGGGCUCAAC
rnacentral:rRNA from 1 species